rnacentral:rRNA from 1 species
CUACCAGCCCCGCGAGUGGUCGGGACGGUUAUUGGGCCUAAAGCGCCCGUAGCCGGCCCGGUAAGUUCCCGCCGAAAUCCCCGGGCUCAACCCGGGGGCCUGCGGGAAUACUGCCGGGCUAGGGGGCGGGAGAGGCCGGGGGUACUCCCGGGGUAGGGGCGAAAUCCUAUAAUCCCGGGAGGACCACCAGUGGCGAAGGCGCCCGGCUGGAACGCGCCCGACGGUGAGGGGCGAAAGCCGGGGGAGCGAACCGGAUUAGAAACCCCAGUAGUCC